CGAGUUUGAUCCUAGCUCAGAAGGAACGCUAGCUAUAUGCUUAACACAUGCAAGUCGAACAUUGUUUUCGGGGAGCUGGGCAGAAGGAAAAGAGGCUCCUAGCUAAAGUUGUCUCGCCCUGCUUCAAAACUACAGGGCGCGCGCUACGGCUUUGACCUAACGGCCUCCAUUUGCUGGAAUCGGAAUAGUUGAGAACAAAGUAGCGAAUAGGUGCGUAACGUGUGGGAAUCUGCCGAACAGUUCGGGCCAAAUCCUGAAGAAAGCUCAAAAGCGCUGUUUGAUGAGCCUGCGUAGUAUUAGGUAGUUAGGUAGGUAAAGGCUGACCAAGCCAAUGAUGCUUAGUUGGUCUUUUCGGAUGAUCAGCCACACUUGGACUGGGACACGGCCCAGACUCCCACGGGGGGCAGCAGUGGGGAAUCUUGGACAAUGGGCGAAAGCCCGAUCCAGCAAUAUCGCGUCAGUGAAGAAGGGUAAUGCCACUUGUAAAGUUCUUUUUUCGAGCGCGCGAUCAUGACAAGACUCGAGGAAGAAGCCCCGGCUAACUCCGUGCCAGCAGCCGCGGUAAGACGGGGGGGGGGCAAGUGUUCUUCGGAAUGACUGGGCGUAAAGGGCAUGUAGGCGGUGAAUCGGGCUGAAAGUGAAAGUCGCCAAAAAGUGACGGAAUGCUCUCAAAACCAAUUCACUGGAGUGAGACAGAGGAGAGUGGAAUUUCGUGUGUAGGGGUGAAUCCGCAGAUCUACGAACGAACGCCAAAAGCGAAGGCAGCUCUCUGGGUCCCUAUCGACGCUGGGGAGCUAACCGGAUGAGUGUUUGCCCUUGGUCUACGCGGAUCAGGGGCCCAACUAACGCGUGAAACACUCUGCAUGGGGAGUACGAUCGCAAGACCGAAACUUAAAGGAAUUGACGGGGGCCUGCACAAGCGGUGGAGCAUGUGGUUUAAUUCGAUACAAUGCGCAAAACCUUACCAACCCUUGACAUAUGAACAACAAAACAUGUCCUUAGCAGGAUGGUACUGACUUUCAUACAUGUGCUGCAUGGCUUUCUUCAGCUCGUGUCGUGAGAUGUUUGGUCAAGUCCUAUAACGAGCGAAACCCUUGUUUUGUGUUGCUGAGACAUGCGCCUAAGGAGAAAUUGCCACCGAGUGAUGUGCCAGCGCUACUACUUGAUUGAGUGCCAGCACAUAGCUAUGCUUUCAGCAAGAAUUUCACCAUUGGGAGCCGGUGCCUUUUGAAGCACUUUCACGUGUGAACCGAAGUCGUCUUGCCCAAGACCCACGGAGACCUACCUAUAGUGACGUCAAAGUACCAGUGAGCAUGCAGGUUUAGUUGAAAUUGGUUACAAAAACGUCGAGUUGGCAGUGGAGGAAGACUCGACAUGAAGGCCAGAAAAUGGUGUGGAACGUAGUGGUAAUAGUAUGCGCCCCGCUCCGAAACAAAGAAAAAGCUGCAUGCCGCACUCACGAGGGACUGCCAGUGAGAUACCGGAGGAAGGUGGGGAUGGCGUCAAGUCCGCAUGGCCCUUAUGGGCUGGGCCACCCAUGUGCUAGAAUGGCAAUAACAAUGGGAAGCAAGGCUAUAAGGCGGAGCGAAUCCAGAAGGAUCACUUCAGUUCGGAUUGUUCUCUGCAACUCGGGAACAUGAAGUUGAAAUCGCGGAUCUGCAUGCCGUGGUGGAUAUGUACCCGGGCCCUGUACACACCGCCGGUCACACCCUAGGAAUUGGUUUCUCCCGAAGCAUCGGACCAAUGAUCACCCAUGACUUCUGUGUAUCACUAGUGCCACAAAGGCCUUUGGUGGUCUUAUUGGCGCAUACCACGGUGGUGUCUUCGACUGGGGUGAAGUCGUAACAAGGUAGCCGUAGGGGAACCUAUGGAUG
rnacentral:ncRNA from 1 species